GCACUGCUGAGGAGUCCCAGACUAGAACGAAACGGCAGUCCAGUGC
rfam:Schistosoma haematobium scaffold1032_19, whole genome shotgun sequence.